GACUAAGUCGAGUCACAGGUCAAUCUGACUUAUUUACAAUCUUAGUUGCAUAUAAAUAUUUUUUGAGAUUCUAAGAAGCGUGGUUAUACGUAAAUAUAAAAAUUUUAUCUGCUCAGGGAUUUGCAUGCAAGAUACUUAUCUUUCAUCAUACGCCAGAGAGACAAACACGGCGCUUGGCUCUGCAUGCAUGAAGCAUUCCAUUGCAGAGCGGCUAGAGCUCAGGUGAACACAGGGGAAA
rnacentral:lncRNA from 1 species